GACGAACGCUGGCGGCGUGCCUAAUACAUGCAAGUAGAACGCUGAAGGAGGAGCUUGCUUCUCUGGAUGAGUUGCGAACGGGUGAGUAACGCGUAGGUAACCUGCCUGGUAGCGGGGGAUAACUAUUGGAAACGAUAGCUAAUACCGCAUAAGAGUAGAUGUUGCAUGACAUUUGCUUAAAAUGUGCAAUUGCAUCACUACCAGAUGGACCUGCGUUGUAUUAGCUAGUUGGUGGGGUAACGGCUCACCAAGGCGACGAUCCAUAGCCGAUCUGAGAGGAGGAGCAGGCACACUGGAACUGAGACACGGUCCAGACUCCUACGGGAGGCAGCAGGGGGGAAUAUUGGACAAUGGGCGAAAGCCUGAUCCAGCCAUGCCGCGUGGGUGAAGAAGGGCUUCGGAUGGUAAAGCACUUUAAGUUGGGAGGAAGGGCAGGAAGUGAAUAACUUGCUGUUUUGACGUUACCAACAGAAUAAGCACCGGCUAACUUCGUG
rnacentral:rRNA from 1 species